AAAAAGGUAAGCUAAUAAAGCUCAUGGGUUCAUACCCCAUUUAUGAAGGUUUUAACCCUUUCCUCUUUA
rnacentral:tRNA from 1 species